rnacentral:rRNA from 1 species
AUCAUGGCUCAGAACGAACGCUGGCGGCAUGCCUAACACAUGCAAGUCGAACGAACUCUUCGGAGUUAGUGGCGCACGGGUGCGUAACGCGUGGGAAUCUGCCCUUGGGUACGGAAUAACUCAGAGAAAUUUGUGCUAAUACCGUAUAAUGUCUUCGGACCAAAGAUUUAUCGCCCAAGGAUGAGCCCGCGUAAGAUUAGCUAGUUGGUGGGGUAAAGGCCUACCAAGGCUACGAUCUUUAGCUGGUCUGAGAGGAUGAUCAGCCACACUGGGACUGAGACACGGCCCAGACUCCUACGGGAGGCAGCAGUGGGGAAUAUUGGACAAUGGGCGAAAGCCUGAUCCAGCAAUGCCGCGUGUGUGAAGAAGGUCUUCGGAUCGUAAAGCACUUUCGACAGGGACGAUGAUGACGGUACCUGUAGAAGAAGCCCCGGCUAACUUCGUG